UACGAAGGGUGCAAGCGUUGUUCGGAAUUACUGGGCGUAAAGGGUUCGUAGGCGGGAGGAUAAGUUGGAUGUGAAAACCCUGGGCUCAACCCGGGACGUGCAUCCAAAACUGUCUUUCUUGAGUACCGGAGAGGGUCGUGGAAUUGCUGGUGUAGGAGUGACAUCCGUAGAGAUCAGCAGGAACACCGGAGGCGAAAGCGACGACCUGGUCGAGUACUGACGCUGAGGAACGAAAGCGUGGGGAGCAAACAG
rnacentral:rRNA from 1 species